UGCGUCAUACGUUGUAAGCGUCUAGUAUUUCGUAAUAGUGGAAAAUAUCUUGUUAUGCAUAUACAAAUUAUAAACUCACUCAUUGGCAACAGUCUUGUGUGAGAGGGAGGGAGGAUAAGCCGAUUACUGACUCAGUCAGCCCCUCUGUAUCUGUGCAGGCAUCGUAUCCCUGACGCGCUCUCACAGAUCAUCCUGUAGAUCGUAUUUUGUUGUAUCUACUGCACAAUGGUUAUAGUAUCGGACAAGAAGAAAGCUCUAAAGGUAAGAGCUCUACGCGCUAGCCAAGUAAAGAAGAAGUGUAAAGCCGCACUGAGGCAAAACAGAGUUCUCUUGAGUGAAGAUAGAGGAGGGCUCGCUGCAGGAGUGUGUCACAGCCUCCCGCCCCACAACGCACACUACCUCGCCUCACUACAUCACACUCCCAGGCACCCGCAGCACCUGCCACACCUCCUGCGGCACCUGCCACACCUCCUGCAGCACCUGCCACACCUACUGCGGCACCUAGUGCCACACCUGCGGCACCGGCCACACGGCAUAUGCCACUCAAGAUCUUAGACUUGCAACUCCAGACGUUCUCCCUCUUGAUGUUGCAGGAUGUUGCAUAUUUCAGACUAAUUAUAUUAGGCGAUCUUCAUGAAACUUCCACACCUUACUGAAGGAAUGCCAAUCUACAAGGGUGGUAAUUUUGAUUGAAAUUGGUCGUUCAUCAACCUCAGCCACAGGUGGCUAAACUUUGACCUUGAUUUUCUACAGGCUGCGAUGCUGAAACUUGAACCAGUUGCAGCCCUCUUUAAAUGUAACACGUCAAUAAAUUUUCAUUGCACUAGAACAACUUUUAUGAAACCAAACUAAUGCCCCCUUAUGGGGGUGUAGCCUCACUUUGAUACUGUCCC